UACUGAUCUGUCUUCCACCCAAUUUUGCUGCAGCCAUCGCAAGCCUCCACCACCAAGCAUGAACGUGCCUAGCCACCUUGCUUUCACCACCAAAACAGAGCAAAACCCCCUCCAUCAGUCCAUCCCAGUCUUCACGUUGAACAAGGUCUGAGAAAACAACGGCGUGUGUUGCGCCGAUCUCCACCUUAGUCGAUUCUUCUCUAUGACAGAUCGACUUCCCUGCUGCACGGCGUCGCCUCCUCGACUAGCCGGCUGCCCAAUUGUGUCCCACCGUCGCGCACGGCUUCUCCACUCGGUCCCUAUUUCAGCAAGCUAUCUCCUCUCAUUUUAAUCUGUGUGUGCUACUGAGUUUAUUCUAUAUAAACUGAAAAUGGUGGGAAGGUAACUAAAGUCCACUGUGCUGCCGAGUUUAUUGUAUAUAGACUCUGGAUGUUGAAGAUAACAGAAGUCCACAGUGCUGCCAAGUUUAUUGAAAAUGACAGUUGAAGAUAAUUGAAGAAGACAUUUCAUUUGUAAAUUUGUAAUGGAAAAAUUUGAAUAUCUGGAUGUUGAUCAGUCUGGAACUUUGUCAGUGUGUGAUAUUAAUUAUAAUGCCCGAAUAUCAUCUAGUCUGGUCAGGUGACCAUACCUUGGAAAUUUAGUAAUUGGUUUGUAUACGUGUAUGAAGUACUUCCUGUAAAAUCAGAUUUCAUCAUGGAUA